CACAUUCUCCCUGUGUUUGUAAUCCCAUGGAAGGAAGCUGGCUGUGUGAAGACAAGGAUGACACCCUGUGACAGAAGAUUGGAGGGAUGCAUCUUUAAUAAAAUAAGAUACAUUGGAACAGGAAGUAACGAGGAGUUCUCUGAAGAGCAUUGAAAAAAUGUUUCCCUCAUCAAAAUUCAAACUUUGCCUCGUGUAUUAUUUCUUCCACCCCCAA